rnacentral:rRNA from 1 species
UACUGAGUGGCAGACGGGUGAGUAACAUGUGGGAAUCUGCCUUGUGGUUCAGGACAACAUUGGGAAACCGAUGCUAAUACUGGAUAAGCCCUUACGGGGAAAGUUUUAAUGCCAUAAGAUGAGCCCGCAUUUGAUUAGUUAGUUGGUGAGGUAAUGGCUCACCAAGACAAUGAUCAAUAGCUGAUCUGAGAGGAUGAUCAGCCACACUGGGACUGAGACACGGCCCAGACUCCUACGGGAGGCAGCAGUGGGGAAUCUUGCACAAUGGAGGAAACUCUGAUGCAGCGAUGCCGCGUGAGUGAAGAAGGCCUUUGGGUUGUAAAGCUCUUUUGUAGGGGAAGAUAAUGACUGUACCCUAAGAAUAAGGUCCGGCUAACUUCGUGCCAGCAGCCGCGGUAAUACGAAGGGACCUAGCGUAGUUCGGAAUUACUGGGCGUAAAGCGCGCGUAGGCCGUUGAGUUAGUUAAUUGUGAAAUCCCAAAGCUUAACUUUGGAACUGCAAUUA